rnacentral:rRNA from 1 species
UUUAUGGAGAGUUUGAUCCUGGCUCAGGAUGAACGCUGGCGGCGUGCCUAAUACAUGCAAGUCGAGCGAACGGACGAGAAGCUUGCUUCUCUGAUGUUAGCGGCGGACGGGUGAGUAACACGUGGAUAACCUACCUAUAAGACUGGGAUAACUUCGGGAAACCGGAGCUAAUACCGGAUAAUAUUUUAAACCGCAUGGUUCAAAAGUGAAAGACGGUCUUGCUGUCACUUAUAGAUGGAUCCGCGCUGCAUUAGCUAGUUGGUAAGGUAACGGCUUACCAAGGCAACGAUGCAUAGCCGACCUGAGAGGGUGAUCGGCCACACUGGAACUGAGACACGGUCCAGACUCCUACGGGAGGCAGCAGUAGGGAAUCUUCCGCAAUGGGCGAAAGCCUGACGGAGCAACGCC